rnacentral:rRNA from 1 species
UACGGGGGGGGCAAGCGUUGUUCGGAAUUACUGGGCGUAAAGGGUUCGUAGGUGGCCUGCUAAGUCACACGUGAAAUCCCUCAGCUUAACUGGGGAACUGCGUGUGAUACUGGCGAGCUUGAGUGCAGGAGAGGAACGCGGAAUUCCAGGUGUAGCGGUGAAAUGCGUAGAUAUCUGGAGGAACACCGGUGGCGAAGGCGGGUAGCUGGGCCGACACUGACGCUGAGGCGCGAAAGCCAGGGGAGCGAACGGG